GCGGAUCGAACAAUGAUUGCUCAAAUUUUCAUAAAGCUUAAUUUUGCGAUAAGGUGAUUUGACAUUCAAUAUGUCGUAAAAAAAAAAGGGGGGGGGUUGGAAAAUGAAAAAAAAGAAGAAAAAGUGAUGUCUAGGGAAGAGGGGAUCACCCUGCCAUCCAACCAGAAGCAUGCAAAAGAAAAAUCAAACCCAUUGGGGGUCAUCCUUUUAGCCGAUCCUUUUCAUGCCCACUACUUCUUCCAGACAGAACCCCUUACCAAAAAANNN
rnacentral:lncRNA from 1 species